rnacentral:rRNA from 1 species
GAUGAACGCUGGCGGCGUGCCUAAUACAUGCAAGUCGAGCGAACGGACGAGAAGCUUGCUUCUCUGAUGUUAGCGGCGGACGGGUGAGUAACACGUGGAUAACCUACCUAUAAGACUGGGAUAACUUCGGGAAACCGGAGCUAAUACCGGAUAAUAUUUUGAACCGCAUGGUUCAAAAGUGAAAGACGGUCUUGCUGUCACUUAUAGAUGGAUCCGCGCUGCAUUAGCUAGUUGGUAAGGUAACGGCUUACCAAGGCAACGAUGCAUAGCCGACCUGAGAGGGUGAUCGGCCACACUGGAACUGAGACACGGUCCAGACUCCUACGGGAGGCAGCAGUAGGGAAUGUUCCGCAAUGGGCGAAAGCCUGACGGAGCAACGCCGCGUGAGUGAUGAAGGUCUUCGGAUCGUAAAACUCUGUUAUUAGGGAAGAACAUAUGUGUAAGUAACUGUGCACAUCUUGACGGUACCUAAUCAGAAAGCAACGGCUAACUACGUG